rfam:Eubacterium siraeum 70/3 draft genome.
GUCGGUGUUGAUUGUGAUGAGGUUCCACCUGUUCCCAUUCCGAACACAGUAGUUAAGCUCAUUUACGUCGAAAAUACUUGGCGGGUGACUGCCUGGGAAGAUAGAUAGAUGCCGACA